UACAGAGGGUGCAAGCGUUGUUCGGAAUUAUUGGGCGUAAAGCGCGUGUAGGCGGCUUUGCAAGUCGGUUGUGAAAGCCCUCAGCUCAACUGAGGAAGUGCGCCCGAAACUGCAGAGCUUGAGUACCGGAGAGGAUGGCGGAAUUCCCCAAGUAGAGGUGAAAUUCGUAGAUAUGGGGAGGAACACCGGUGGCGAAGGCGGCCAUCUGGACGGAUACUGACGCUGAGACGCGAAAGCGUGGGGAGCAAACAGG
rnacentral:rRNA from 1 species